GGUUACCAGUCACAGUAGCCUCCUGGUUACCAGUCACAGUAGCCCACUGGUUACUAGUCACAGUAGCCCACUGGUUACUAGUCACAGUAGCCCACUGGUUACUAGGGGUUACCAGUCACAUGAUCCCAGUGGUUACUAGGGGUUACCAGUCACAGGAGCCCAGUGGUUACUAGGGGUUACCAGUCACAGGAGCCCAGUGGUUACUAGGGGUUACCAGUCACAGGAGCCUAGUGGUUACUAGGGGUUACUAGUCACAGUAUCCCAGUGGUUACUAGGGGUUACUAGUCACAGUAGCCUAGUGGUUACUAGUCAAAGUAGGCUAGUGGUUACUAGCUACUCAGCUAUUUCAUUAGCAACAAUUUCUCAAAUUGUGUUUAAUUUUUUUAAAGUUGACUUCGGUUUGCUACAACUUGGUAAGUGUUUCUGUGUCCUGUUGCAGAAAUGGUGACGGCCUCCGGAGACCCUGAAGUCUCCAUCGUCCUCAACAUCGAGGACACCGACCCGACCCAGCCACGAUCCAGCCAGCCGCCCCCCGAGGAAGACCUUUCCAAAACCCCCUCGAAGAAGAAGAAGAAAAAGAAGAGCAAAGAGGAGGCGGAGGCACCGAGCACCGACUCGUCCACCGUAGACGCACCCAGCGACGCUCCUCUCGCCGCCAAGACCGCCAAAAAGAUGAAGAGAGACAAACGGAGGGCCGAGGGGAAGCAGACGGAAGAAAAGGAGGAGAAGAAGAAGAAGAAGAAGGCUAAGAAAAGGAAGAUGGAGCAAGAGGUAGCGGAGGAGAAGGAAGAGGUCACGCCUUCAGAGAAGAAAAUCAAAAAGAAGAAGAAGAAGGUAACAGAAGAGAAGAGCGAGGCCGUAGAAGUGGAGUGCAGCUUGUCCUCGAGUCCAGCCAAGACAAAGAAGAAGAAACCGUCUAAGGAAACACCAGCAGGGGGCAACACAGACACAGACAAGGAUCAGGAGUCCACAGAUGCAAGCUCAUCGACUAAGAAUCGCCGUUUCAGGAAGAAACACAGCCUCGUGAAAAGGUUGCAACACCGUAGAAAAAAGAUAAUGAAGAUGAGACAAAAGGCGACCGCGGAGGAGACGCCCCAAGGUGACCCCGCCCAGAAGAGCGACGACACACCAAAGAAGAAGAAGAAGAUGAUUAAAAUGAACGGAGAGCAAGAAGAGAAUUCCUCAAAGGAAAACCAACCGCCGAAGAAGAAAAAGAAGAAGCAAACAGAGGAGGAGGAGGAAAAGGAGGAGAGCUCCGGACCUCCUGAGACGGCAUCGACUCCACUUCCAAAGGAAGGCAAGAAGAAGAAGAAGAUGAUGAUCAUGGCUGAAGAAGGCGAGGAGACGACUGACAGCCCCAUGCCCGUCACUUCUGCAAAGAAAAAGAAGAGGAACCGGUCGGAGGAGACGGAACCGGCUGCAGAGGAACAAACUCCUCCCGCUGCGAAGAAAAAGAAAACCCCCAAAAAGAUAAAAAUCGCCUCAGACGAUCUCUGAGCAAAUCUCGGAUUCCUCUGACCCGUCGCUGCUGGACCUGAAAACCCCGAAACAAGACAAUCUCCUUCAUGUUUGUGCCUUUACACCUGAAAUAAUAACUGUUCUCAUAAAAGUAUAUUCCUAAAGGACACAAUGUUUACGGUCCCGUUUCACUGUCGUCUCCUUUUUAAAGCUUCCUCUGCGUUUUUAUCUCGAAGCAGAGCUGCUGCGGUGGGAAGAAGAUGCAUUUCGAGCUUCCUCGUAUUGCCAAAGUCAUUUUUGAGGCCCGUACUGAUCAAUUUCAAUAUAAUACAUUUCUGGAUGCAUUUAGCGGUGACUUAUUUAGCGGCAUCCGUUUGCGGUUGCUAUGGAAACGUGGAGCAGCUUGGUAUUUGGGGCUGCAAAGACAUUUUCAAUCAAAGGUUAUUCAGGGUUGGAUGUUCCGCCCUUCAGGGAUUGCUGCUACGCUGCAGCAUUUAAUAAAACAAAUGCCAUCUGCAUCCCAUGCAAACUAAGCGGUGACGAACGGAAGCGCUGAAUAUCUUACUGUCGUUAAAGGUGUCCUCCGUUUAGGAUGUGCGUUAAGGGAAAAGCUGUGAAACAGACAAGGUCUUUGAAUCAUCUUCUGUUGGUUUAUAAAUGGAUAGUUCAUGUAUUUGUAGUGAAGAGGCGAAAAAGUAUGUUUCGUCUCGAGGGAGAAACUCGUGUUUUUACUUUUUUAGUAAGCUGUGAAAUGUUUGUUUUCACACUGUUUCCUUAAAACCAUUAACUAUGCAUCUGUUAAAGGCUCUGGGAUGAAAUACUUACUUAUCUGUUCUGAGAACUAACACGUGUGAGACAAUAAAAACUCCCAAACGCUUUAAUUGUCUUUUGCUUUACACUUGACAGAAGCUUCAUUCUUCGGAAGCAGGACACUGAAUUUUGUCACUUCACCUCGACAAGUCGUAAACACGGAGCUGCGUUUCUGCUGGACGGACGUCCACAAACGUCACACUUAAACUAUGCAUGUCAUCACAUUGUGAAAAUAGUUUUGAGGCUCAGGGACUAGAACUCAGAUUUAUGUACAAACUACAUCACGCAACUAUUUGUAACCCGUAAAACCUUUUCAUUAACUGCAGUAAUUCACUCAUUUAAUAUUGAUUCAUCAAGCUGAGCCAACGGCGUCUGUUUGCAAAACUUCUGUCCUCCGUUACGAACAAUUUUAACGCUUUAAAAUGUUUACUCUUCCUCAUGUAAUUGUUUCUUUCAAUAAACACUUUCUCUUAAA
ensembl:lncRNA